ACUUGGCCUCAUGUAUCUACUGGACUGCGGUCAUCCCCUCAGAGAAAUUUAACGUAGAUCUCCGGUCACUAAAGGGGGUACCCAGGGAGGCAACUCUUACACAUGUGUGUGGGCUGCUGGGUCUUCAGAGAUUAGAGGCGGAACCCUGGCUGUGCCAGACAAAUAUUCACCUGAUGAGCAUAAAAGAAAAAUUAAACUGCUUGUUGGGGAGGGAGUGGAUAUAUUUAUACCAAUUUCAGAGUUCUAUUUCCUGUCCUUUCUGCCGUGAGGGAAGGAGCUAACCAAUAGGUAUUUAUU